UACGGAGGAUCCAAGCGUUGUCCGGAUUUACUGGGUUUAAAGGGUGCGUAGGUGGACUUUUAAGUCAGCGGUGAAAGCCUGUAGCUUAACUACAGAAUUGCCAUUGAAACUGAAAGUCUUGAGUACAGUUGAGGUGAGCGGAAUGUAUCAUGUAGCGGUGAAAUGCUUAGAUAUGAUACAGAAACACCGAUUGCGAAAGGCAGCUCACUAAAACUGCAACUGACACUGAGGCACGAAAGCGUGGGGAUCAAACAGG
rnacentral:rRNA from 1 species